GCUGGGCAUGGUGGUGCAUGCCUGUAAUCCCAGCUACUUGGGAGGCUGAGGCAGGAGAAUCGCUUGAAUCCAGGAGGCAGUUUGCAGUGAGCUGAGAUAGCGCAACUGCAUUCCAACCUGGGCAACACAGCGAGACUCUGUCUCAA
ensembl:misc_RNA Metazoa_SRP Metazoan signal recognition particle RNA